rnacentral:rRNA from 1 species
GUCCACGCCCUAAACGAUGUCAACUAGGUGUUGGGAGGGUAAAACCUUUUAGUACCGUAGCUAACGCGAGAAGUUGACCGCCUGGGGAGUACGGCCGCAAGGCUAAAACUCAAAGAAAUUGACGGGGCCCGCACAAGCGGUGGAGCAUGUGGUUUAAUUCGACGCAACGCGCAGAACCUUACCUGGGCUAGAAAAGGCCGGAAGCCCCUCAGAAACGAGGGUGUGCCCGCAAGGGAGCCGGUAUUCAGGUGCUGCAUGGCUGUCGU